UACGUAGGGGGCAAGCGUUGUCCGGAUUUAUUGGGCGUAAAGAGCGUGUAGGCGGCCAGACGGGUCCGUUGUGAAAACUCGAGGCUCAACCUCGAGACGUCGAUGGAAACCGUCUGGCUAGAGUCCGGAAGAGGAGUGUGGAAUUCCUGGUGUAGCGGUGAAAUGCGCAGAUAUCAGGAAGAACACCUAUGGCGAAGGCAGCACUCUGGGACGGUACUGACGCUGAGACGCGAAAGCGUGGGGAGCGAACAGG
rnacentral:rRNA from 1 species